CGAGUACCAACUGGAGGGCAAGUUCUGGUGCCAGCAGCCGCGGUAAUUCCAGCUCCAGUAGCGUAUAUUAAAGUUGCUGCAGUUAAAAGCUCGUAGUUGAAUUUCUGUUUGUAAGAGUCGAAGCUUUACAGCUAAGAUUUCUUCGAACAUCUGUUUGCAAGCAUACGUUCGGCCUUCACUGGUUGGCUAUGUAAGCAAGCGCUUUACCUUGAGAAAAUUAGAGUGUUCCAGGCAGGCUUCAGCCGGAAUACAUUAGCAUGGAAUAAUGGAAUAGGACUGGGGACUAUUUAUUGGUUUGAGGCUCCAGUAAUGAUUAAUAGGAACAGUCGGGGGCAUUGGUACUUAACAGUCAGAGGUGAAAUUCUUGGAUUUGUUUAAAGACUAACUAAUGCGAAAGCAUUUGCCAAGCAUGUUUUCAUUAAUCAAGAACGAAAGUUAAGGGAUCGAAGACGAUUAGAUACCGUCGUAGUCUUAACUGUAAACUAUGCCGACCAGGGAUAUGAGUUGUUAGGAUUAUAUG
rnacentral:rRNA from 1 species